UCCAACGAAUGGUACAAUGAAUACAAACACCUGUAUCGAUACAUACUAUUAAAUAUAUUGUUAAAGUGACGAGUGAAGUGAAAUGAUCGUGUUAGCCUGUCGUUUCAAGCAGAGGAAUAGAAGAGUAGAAUUGUUCGUCGUGUUUGUUCCCUGCUUUUUGUAAUUAUUACACAACAGCCGGAUUACGAGCGACAUAAGUAACAGAAAAUCUAACGAAGUUACGUCCAACGCGUUAUUCGUUGGUCUGUUAUCCGCGACAAAAAUGGAACUUGCAUAACACAAAGCUGUCGUUUGUCCCGGCCCUGUUAUAUAACGUAGAUAUAAAGUCAGGAAAAUAAAGAGGAAGGAGAAGACGGGUAAUGGAACGAAGAAAGAAAUGCAAAUAGUACGGACCCGUAAAACUGAAAAUUUAUUAGCCGCCGUCACGUACGUUCUGUAUUUUCAAGCGUGAACCGUCGUCAAACGUUCCUGACGAAUCCUCUCCUCUGCUUAGCUGCCUUCCCAAUUUCACACCCACCUCACGAGACAGGACAGACGCGCCGAGUUUACGACAGACCGAUUCUACUUCGGUGCGCUCCUCUAGACACCCUCUACAUACCGGGUGUCUCAAAACCAGUUGUAUUUCGUCGUUUCGUCGUGCCAAUUGUCGGUCCAACGAAUUUUUACGUAUCUCGUCGUACGAUACGUCGUGACGCACGAGCGUGCAGCAAUUUCGAUAGAAAUUUCGGUUUUCCGUCAAAGAACGAUAUCUUCGUUACCUUCAACGAUACGAGGAAAUGUUCAACGCGUUCGAUGCGGAUUUCUCGAAGGAUUAAAAUUUAGGAUAAAACAAGGAUACAAAUUUCCUUCUAUCCACUAAAUAUAAGUUUGCUGUACUUUGAUUAUUUCACACGCUUCUACGUAUUAUAUCAUAACACGCGUUUUGCAGACUUUUGGAACUGGGAAUUAAAAAAACCCCCAGGUCAAAAAUACGCGUAAACAUCUGCAAUUUGGCUAUUAGUAUCUCGUCGAUUUUGAAUCACUUUACCAAAACUCGCGCGCUGCUACUGUCAAUCGUAAUGAAAAUUGUACGAAUAUAAUUUAUACUAUUAGCUUGUCCCAAAAGUGUCUUUCGCUAUCUGCGCGCAGCUACUUCAUCCGACAACCUAAUCUGUGAAACGUAAACGGAACAGGGUAAUAGAAGAAAAUGGUCACCGCAUGGUUCAAUGAAAUGAUAAUGAAUUUUAAAAUAAUAAUAAUAAUAAAUUCAACAAAAGAGAAAAUGUUAUGCAACUGACAUUUCCUUUACAAAACGAAAGAAAGCUUUGGGACAACCUAACGUAAUCGUUGCUCGAAAGAGAUAUCGUAGAGUAAGCGUGAAAAUCGUAUGGCGAGCAUAGGGUAGGAAAAAUAAGAAUUCGUAGAAAUUUCCAUACAAUUACGUUUGUACGCCAUCCCCCUCGUUGCGUAUCCAAUCACCGUGUUUUACGGCGACCUGCAAGCUGGAUACAAUUCGGCGAAGCGUAAGCCUCUCGCGCGGCAACAGCAAAUCUGCGAAAAUUCUGUCGUUCGUCGUUUUAAAUAUCGUUCGUUUUACACGGCCGUAAAGUGAUUUUCCAACGAACGGUGGUCAUAUUAUCCUCGGUAUAGUAUCAAUUACGUGCUGGUUACCCCUUAACGGCCGCAUAAAUUCGCCGAUAUCGAGCACGCAGCCACUUGAACACCACGGAUAUAGAAUGACUGUUCGAGUGUAUCCGUCUGUUUAAAUGGCUGACGCGUGACUCGACGAUUUAUGCGCUUAGUGUCCUGGCUGCUAGAAGCAACGCCGGUAUUUUCGCUAAUUUCCAUCGUAUUCGAAGCUUGACGGUAUCUGGCGAAAGUAUUCUCCAACGGUUACCAUGGAAGACACAACGUGAGGAAGAUACAGAAAAUGAAAUACAACGUGGAUAAUAUCGUGCUCGCUAGGUGAAGCAUCUUGAAAUUUUAUCGGCGCUACGCAACGAGACGCGACUACUGCUGUUGGAAAAAUUUCAGCUCAAUCUGAAAGUAUAUACAGGGUGUCUCCGAUUUAAAUGUCGGAACUUUAGAACCGCGUGUGAAGGCGAUAAACUAAGAAGAGAGAGAGAAAUAGAAAAAUAAACGGGGAGAGAUCUGCUGGUUUUUGAUAAAUUUUAAAGAGAAUCGCGAAUUAUUCGUCUUAUCGUCGUUCGAAAUUCUGAUCUGUCGCAGCAAUGCGAGCGUUACGUCUAACAAUGACUGCUCUAGACGACUAUUUUAUAACUAAUAAUAUAUUAUUAUAAAUAAUAGUAAUAAUCGAUGGCAAGACGAAUAAAUAGAUGUAAAUAAAUAAGCUAAGACAAGAUCUUUGUUCCUUUUCCCCCGAUUUUCUCCAAAACGAAGCAAAAGAACGAGCAAAUCUCCGAUGGUUUUUUUCAUCGAUACUUUGACCACCGACUGAAGUCGAUAGAUCUUGGCAGAGAACGAAGAAAUGCGUCGAAUGAUAUGUAAAAUAACGUAUAAGAAAAUAGAGAUGAUUUCGAAAUCUUUGAAACGCCUCCACUUUCGGAAAAAAACACGUGCGCCACGUGACGUAUCACUCGAAACCGUUCGAGUUUUCCUAAUGAAAAUGCCUAUGUUCUACCGUUUUAACGCUAUAUGGCUCGUCCCAGUCGCUGGAAACAUACUGUAUACUUGCUACACUCGUACAAUAUAUAAAUAUCUUGUUGCGCACCUCCUAAGUACAUUUUCAGAUUUGUCCCAAACUUUAUCGAUACAAUCACGACAGCCGGAUCUCGUUGCGGUGCUAAGAAAAUUUCAAAAUGUUCCAUAUAACGCUUGUGAUAUAUUCGUAAAGGAUGUUCGCACAUGCUCAAAUGUUUUUACGAAUUUAAAACGCUAUGUGCCUUCUUCUUCCAUUUUCUCUAUUUCUUAAUCGAACGUCGAACGAAGAACAACGUUGAAAAGCACCAAUUAAAAAGCGAAUAUUAAAAAGAAAAAAAAAAGAAAAAGAAACGCAAAAGAAAGCGAAGCUCCGUUGUUCCGUGUGGUUUCCGUGUGGCCUGCGUGUUUCCACACAUCGAUCGAGUUAACUUACGCAGGCGCAUCCGCGAAUUCUGCCAAACUUAUGCAAGACAAAGAUAUUAUUUAACAGGAUGAAACUUCCUGCGGAUCCCUUGAUCCGUUUCUUUACUUCAUUUCCGGCAUUCCAGAGAAUUCGAUUUCGUCGAUUCUGUGUUCGCGAUACGAAUCUUUUCGAAGCGUACACGCGUGUCUGCGCCGAGCAAGGCGUCUGCCGUCGAAAUUGCUGAAAAACCGAAAGCGGAGCGAAGUUUUAUUAGAUCGGGGAGAUCGCACGGAUAAUAUGAAAAUUGCUUAAAUCGUGAGACGAAUUCCCGUUGGUUAAGCUGGAUCGAUCGUACGAAAUCUUAGAUGGAAGUGGAACAAAAGUGAUGUUUUACGAGAGCGCGGAGAAAAAGAGGGAUAUCGUGAAUGGUUGCUGGAGCCCAACGAAGUGAAUAGAAAUCCCAUAACGUCGGAUUUCAAACGAAUCGAAUUUUAUCCCAGGCGAUACAAAUCCGAUGACUUCAUACACACACGCGUUACCGAUUAUCAGAUUAUCAAUUAUUACGUGGGGCGACACUCUACCUAGACCAGGUCACACACCGCGGGCCAGACGGGAACCAGAUGUCCGCCCAUCCUCGCUGCGUACCUCAAUAUUCUUAAGGACCCGUCAUAAAUGCCAGUAAUUUGCCAGCUAAGGUCCUUCAGACUCAACGAACAUCUGUUUUCCGAAUCAUUUCUAAAGACCAUUGUCUACUACGGCUUGACAAGGGAAAGUUAGUUUUUCUCACGCACGAUGCAACUUUCCUCCCACUAACCACUUUCUCUCGAGGGCGGUUAAGACCCUUCCUAGUCCACCAACCUUCGUUUAACCAAUUAACAACGAAGCCUAUUUCCCUCAGUCUCUUAGCCAAAAUCGUCACCAACAAAUCCGAUGGUCCCAAGGUGCAUCUAUCAAAGAUCUUAGAGUUUUUGAUUGGAAUCGUCGAAGAAUUUCUAUGUUGGAAUUACUCGCUGUUCCCCAUAGUUGGUCGGUAUGUUUAAUGGAAAAAUAUUUCACAGAAUUUUUCAGUAGCAAAAGCGAAAACUUCGAAGGAAUUCGAGUAUGAUAAACUAUUCUUCUCCUUCGAAUUAUGAAGCUUCCCUCUGUGCUUCUGAUUUACGAAGCAGUCUUCUAGGAUAAUGGAGAAAGUGCUGCAUAUUUGGAAUAUCAGCUUGCUUAAGACGAGUAAAAAAUUAUGGCAGAGGAUGGAAGAACGAAUAAAACCACGUUUUAUUUAUAUUUAUUUAUAUUAUACGGGAAAUGAAUAAACUUGGACGUUUCAAACUUUCGGUAACAGCGAAAAGCAAAAAGUAUAUGAAACUCUGGUUCGAUUGAAAAAUUACAAAAUAUUGCCGUUUCCUCAUGACGAAUAUACUCGUCAAAAACAGCUAAGUGAUUAAGAUAAUUGUCAGUACUACAAAGUUAAUAAAUCGCAUAAUCUAUCCGUUCGUGCAUUAAUUCUACGGCUUCGUGAACAAUUUUUUCCUACUGCUCUCGAGAGUACAAACUGUGACGUGAAAUUGUAGGCUUUUGAUGUUUCGUUUUAACGUUACGAAUUCGGAAUUCCGAAGAGAAACCUACCGAGGAGGAUGUUGUAGGCCUCUUUCGCGAUGCGAAUUACGAGGAAUGUCCUACUGGACAAAUUGUAAAAUUUAAAUAAAUAAAUAAAAAAAAAAAAU